CAUGUCCUUAAUUUUGGCCAUGUUUUGAAUUUUACCUUUGAAAAUUGCUAUCAAAUAGAACUUUUCACAAUUAUGAGUAGCUCAGGUAGCAGACUUCAAGGACGUAAGUUUCACUGCUAUAAAGAACAACAAGUGCUGGUGUUUCUCAGCUUGGCAGUGGUCUCAUGCAGUCUGCUGGGGCUUAAAAGUUUCCUUCCUGGUCACCAUUUGGGGGGGUGAUGGCUUCAAACCAAAGCCUUACUUAAUGUAUGUUACUUUUCCUCAUCUUAACAGUCUAGUAAGAUAUAAACUUGUCAGAGCAUCUGUGAUCCCUAUGUAGAUUCUUAAAGGGUCCUGACGUCAUGUUAAGCCAACCACAGGCCUCAAUUCAUACAGGCUCAAACUCCUUCCCCCUAACAGCUGGGACCUCCCUGAUUAGAGCUCAUAAGAAGAUGGUGCUUUUCUUUAACAUAUAAAAAGCCUAAUUCUCUUAACGGCUUUCUUAGGUUUAUGCCAGCAGGUCAAGAAGGACCAUUUUAUUCUAUUUACGUUUAGUGAACAGACUGCUAGAGAUAACGCCUAACUUACAAUUAGGCCACUGUGGUAUAUUUAUACUGACCCUCCUUCCCAAUUCUUACCCUUUAAUCCCAUACCAGUUCCAGAGGAGACUUGGCACAAAAAAGGAGUAUGUGUAUUUUUAAACACCUAGUAGAGCAAAUCGACCAGAAAAAAUCGCCAAGGGGAGCCUGUCUGUAUGUCCACACCUUUCUAAGCCUACAUCAUUCUUUCCAUGCCAGUUCCUUACAUACUUCAUUUCCAAAGAACCCCAAGCUCCUGGACAGUGGCACUACCCUGAAUUUCAGGGUCAGAAAAUCUCUCUUUACUUAUGAAGGAAGCAGCUUCCGCAAGCAGUGUUGCUUCAGAGCCCACUGUCCAGGCUUCCUCACACCUUGCCUCCAUCUGCACAUUACUGCCCUCAAAUCCCACUGUAUUAUAGCAACAAUGCCUCCCUGGUGCCUGGAAAACCCACCUGGUGCACCAAAAUGCUAUGCAACACCAAAUGGCUUCUUCCCAUAGUACUGCUCAAAAUGGAAAUUCCUCAAGAAUAAGCUAUUACCUGUGCUAACAUCACUGUAUGGUGGCUACAGUUUUCAUUUCUAUUUUUCUUUUACUAUGAAGCAAACCAUCUG
ensembl:lncRNA